rnacentral:rRNA from 1 species
GACGAACGCUGGCGGCGUGCCUAAUACAUGCAAGUAGAACGCUGAAGGAGGAGCUUGCUUCUCUGGAUGAGUUGCGAACGGGUGAGUAACGCGUAGGUAACCUGCCUGGUAGCGGGGGAUAACUAUUGGAAACGAUAGCUAAUACCGCAUAAUAGUAGAUGUUGCAUGACAUUUGCUUAAAAGGUGCAAUUGCAUCACUACCAGAUGGACCUGCGUUGUAUUAGCUAGUUGGUGAGGUAACGGCUCACCAAGGCAACGAUACAUAGCCGACCUGAGAGGGUGAGCGGCCACACUGAGACUGAGACACGGCCCAGACUCCUACGGGAGGCAGCAGUAGGGAAGCUGAGGAAAUGGACGGAAGUCUGACCGAGCAACGCCGCGUGAGGGAAGAAGGUUUUCGGAUCGUAAAGCUCUGUUGUAAGAGAAGAACGAGUGUGAGAGUGGAAAGUUCACACUGUGACGGUAUCUUACCAGAAAGGGACGGCUAACUACGUG